AUUGAACGCUGGCGGCAUGCCUUACACAUGCAAGUCGAACGGCAGCACGGGUGCUUGCACCUGGUGGCGAGUGGCGAACGGGUGAGUAAUACAUCGGAACGUACCUUAUCGUGGGGGAUAACGCAGCGAAAGCUGUGCUAAUACAGCAUACGCCCUGAGGGGGAAAGCGGGGGAUCGCAAGACCUCGCGCGAUUAGAGCGGCCGAUGCUGGGUUAGCUUGUUGGUGGGGUAAAAGCCCACCAAGGAGACGAUCAGUAGCUGGUCUGAGAGGACGAUAGGCCACCCAGGGAGUGAGAAACGGGCCAGACUCCUCCGGGAGGAAGCAGUGGGGAAUGUUGGACAAUGGGGGCAACCCUGAUCCAGCAAUGCCGCGUGAGUGAAGAAGGCCUUCGGGUUGUAAAGCUCUUUUGUCUGGGAAGAAACACCGGCUCUAACACAGUCUGGGAAUGACGGUACCUGGAGAAUAAGCACCGGCUAACUACGUGCCAGCCGCCGCCGUAA
rnacentral:rRNA from 1 species